GACGAACGCUGGCGGCGUGCCUCAUACAUGCAAGUAGAACGAGUUGCGAACGGGUGAGUAACGCGUGGUAACCUGCCUCAUAGCGGGGGAUAACUAUUGGCAACGAUAGCUAAUACCGCAUACUGUGAGAUGGACCUGCGUUGUCUUAGCUAGUUGGUGAUGUAAAGGCUCACCAAGGCGAAGAUCCCUAGCUGGUCUGAGAGGAUGACCAGCCACACGGGAACUGAGACACGGUCCAGACUCCUACGGUAGGCAGCAGUGGGGAAUAUUGCACAAUGGGCGCAAGCCUGAUGCAGCCAUGCCGCGUGUAUGAAGAAGGCCGUCGGGUUGUAAAGUACUUUCAGCGAGGAGGCGUUACUCGCAGAAGAAGCACCGGCUAACUCCGUGCCAGCAGCCGCGGUAAUAC
rnacentral:rRNA from 1 species